rnacentral:rRNA from 1 species
UUCUUUUUGGAUGGAUAAAAAGUAAUCCCUGCUCAAUGAUUAAUUUAAUAGCUGCGGAUUUUCUGUACUAAGGUAGCAUAAUCAAUUGUGGUGUUAAUUGCGGACUGGAAUGAAAGGGAAAAUUGUUAAUAACUUUAUUUUAUUUUUUUAUUGAAUUUUGAAUUAUAGUUAAAAUACUAUAAUAAAAUUUAGGGACGAGAAGACCCUAUAAAGCUUGAAUUUUAGGAUUAUUUGGAUGGUUUAGUAGAAUUUAAAUUGGGGCAAUUUUUUAAUUAAAUAUAAAAUUUAUAGAGGAUACAUAAUUAUUGAAAAGAUCCAUUAAUAAUGAAGGAGGAAAAAGUUACUUUAGGGAUAACAGCAUAAUUUUUACCAAAAAGAGCUUAUUUAUGGUAUUGGUUAUGACCUCGAUGUUGGAUUAAUUAAAUUUUAUGGAGCAGAGACUAUAUAAAAUAUGACUGUUCGUCAUUUUAAGGAUUACA